GAUGAACGCUGGCGGCGUGCCUAAUACAUGCAAGUCGAGCGAACAGACGAGGAGCUUGCUCCUCUGACGUUAGCGGCGGACGGGUGAGUAACACGUGGAUAACCUACCUAUAAGACUGGGAUAACUUCGGGAAACCGGAGCUAAUACCGGAUAAUAUAUUGAACCGCAUGGUUCAAUAGUGAAAGACGGUUUUGCUGUCACUUAUAGAUGGAUCCGCGCCGCAUUAGCUAGUUGGUAAGGUAACGGCUUACCAAGGCAACGAUGCGUAGCCGACCUGAGAGGGUGAUCGGCCACACUGGAGCGGAGACACGGUCAAGACUCCUACGGGAGGCAGCAGUAGGGAAUCUUCCGCAAUGGGCGAAAGCCUGACGGAGCAACGCCGCGUGAGUGAUGAAGGUCUUCGGAUCGUAAAACUCUGUUAUUAGGGAAGAACAAAUGUGUAAGUAACUAUGCACGUCUUGACGGUACCUAAUCAGAAAGCCACGGCUAACUACGUG
rnacentral:rRNA from 1 species